UGGAAGAGUCUUCAGUCAGCUAAAUCUCAUUGUUACACCCAUACGUACUGCACUUUCAAUAGAAAGAACCUCAGCUCUGUAGUUCCUAAAACUUGUCAGCCCCCCUCUUGAGAAGUUUAGCCCGGAUUCGUAUGUCCAGUCUUGGAUAGCAAAAGGCAAACAUUGAGCUGAAGACAAAGUAAAAACAACAAGGCACCCAGAAUACGACCCCCAGAUGGAGAAGAUUUGGAUGCUGUUCUAAUCAAACGUGGCAUGGCCAGGGCCUGUUGUAGGUGCCUGACUCAUUGCAAAUGUCAGUGUGCAGCCUUCCACCUGAAUCCCCAGCUUUUCUUCUUGAAUCUGUCCUUCCUAUUAUAUCUGACAGCCAGCUUUCUCUUUCACCACCUUUGGAGCUAAGCAAGAGCAGGCAGACAAAAAGAUCCAAAAUGGGGAAAGACAACAGCCCAGAUGAUCCUUUGAAAGAGGCUAUGACGUACCUUCGUGAAGGAGAAACGGAAAAGAACUGGAUCCAGAUGAAACAUUUAGAAAAUAUAUAACACCAGCACUAAAAGAACUGCCAGCUGAAAAACAGGCAGAAGGUCGAUGUCAGUUGCAUAGUGUGCUACACAGUAUGAGUAAAGAAAUGUAAAAAAAAAAAAAAAAAAA